UGGGGCUUAUAUGGACGUCCCAAUUAAUGAAAUGCCUGCAAGUCUAGGUUUCAUACAUGGAGUGCAAGAUUCCAUGACGGUCAUAAGAACCCCCAAUUCAGAAGGAGUCCUGCCCCACACCCAGGAGGAACAAAUGCUGCACAGAGAUGCCAAGAAGAAUCUGAACAGACAGGCCUUGCUGGGUUUCUCCACUCAGUCUGUGCCUAGAGGAGGUCUCUUAUAGAUGCC